UGCUGCUUCUGCUGGCUUUCCUCUGUUGUCUUCUUCUAACUUUGCUGCCAACAAACAAUCCCCAAAUCUUAGCACGCUAUUAAGGGCCGCUGACCACAACCAGGCAUGACGACGUAAAGUGAUGGCCGUAGUGAUGCAACAGGACUCUGAUUCUGCCAAGUGCUUCGCCGUGCUUAACUGCUGACCAGGGUAGUAUGUCUCCUUCCCGACUUGGAGGUGGUAGCACAAUCAAUAACCAAUGAGUUUGGGACAGGAUGUUUAAACAGUUACAGUGGAACAAGGGAACCAUUGAGAAGAACAACAGUUACCUUUCAAUCUUGAAUCCCCUCCAAAAGCACCGCAUCCCCAGUUUCCUGUGGCUACUGCUGAGAGGUGAUGUGGUGGGACACCAGGUCGAGAGAAACCACAAUAAGCCUGUUGACAGAAAAGCAGCUCACAGCACUGUGCCGUUUUGACCUCUCUUCAGGCAUAUGUGCACAUUUUAAUGAACUUUAACCAAUGGAAUUAUACCAACAAUAGCACAUGGCAAUGAAAACCUUAUUUUAAUACUUCUGCAUCACACGGGCAUGUUCUUUAUGCACACAGGUGCUACAGAUUGCCCCUACUUGUCACCUAAACCAGGGGUUCCAAACCUGUGGUGUUCCAGAUGUUGCUGAACUACAACUCCCAUCAACCCUAGCUACAAUUUAUUAUAGCUAGGGAUGAU